UUGAGGGAGUUGAGAAAAAAAGUUCGGAGAGAGAAAGACAGAGAAUGGAGGUUAUGAAGAAUAAUAAAGUGACCGGAAGGAGGACAACGAUACCGAUCGAUAUUAGACUAUUCGUGCGUUAAUUCGAUAGUGAUCAAGGGUCAUAGAGAUUUUCUAAUGAUACCGACUACUAUAUAAGACCUUGAUGAAAUAACCGAAUGAUGUCAUAUGAUGAUAUGAUGAUUAAAUGGACAAUCAAUUUAACGGUCAAAGAAGUUCGUACACAGUGUCUAUCCUCGACCUAGCAAGAAAAGGUUCUCGCGUGUAACUUUAAUUAUUUGAUUAGCCACUGGUACCUGCUGCUCGAA